CGGGCUAAACCCGCGUACAUGCCACGGGGCAUCCCGGAGGCAGGAAAGGCUUCGGCCGGACAGGGAUGGGCAUGCGGCGCAUUAGGCAGUAGGCGGGGUAACGGCCCACCUAACCGACGAUGCGUAGGGGUUCUGAGAGGAAGGUCCCCCACACUGGUACUGAGACACGGACCAGACUCCUACGGGAGGCAGCAGUGAGGAAUAUUGGUCAAUGGUCGGGAGACUGAACCAGCCAAGCCGCGUGAGGGAUGAAGGUACAGAGUAUCGUAAACCUCUUUUGUCAGGGAACAAAGGCGGGGACGUGUCCCCGGAUGAGUGUACCUGAAGAAAAAGCAUCGGCUAACUCCGUGCCAGCAGCCGCGGUAAUACGGAGGAUGCGAGCGUUAUCCGGAUUUAUUGGGUUUAAAGGGUGCGCAGGCGGUCUGUUAAGUCAGCGGUCAAAGCCCGGGGCUCAACCCCGGCCCGCCGUUGAAACUGGCAGUCUCGAGUUGGAGAGAAGUAUGCGGAAUGCGCGGUGUAGCGGUGAAAUGCAUAGAUAUCGCGCAGAACUCCGAUUGCGAAGGCAGCAUGCCGGCUCCACACUGACGCUGAGGCACGAAAGCGUGGGUAUCGAACAGGAUUAGAUACCCUGGUAGUCCACGCAGUAAACGA
rnacentral:rRNA from 1 species